rnacentral:rRNA from 1 species
CCUACGGGCGGCAGCAGUGGGGAAUAUUGGGCAAUGGGCGCAAGUCUGACCCAGCAACGCCGCGUGAAGGAAGAAGGCUCUCGGGUUGUAAACUUCUUUUCUCAGGGACGAAGCAAGUGACGGUACCUGAGGUAUAAGCCACGGCUAACUACGUGCCAGCAGCCGCGGUAAUACGUAGGUGGCAAGCGUUAUCCGGAUUUACUGGGUGUAAAGGGCGUGUAGGCGGGAAAGCAAGUCAGAUGUGAAAACCAUGGGCUCAACCUGUGGCCUGCAUUUGAAACUGUUUUUCUUGAGUACUGGAGAGGCAGACGGAAUUCCUAGUGUAGCGGUGAAAUGCGUAGAUAUUAGGAGGAACACCAGUGGCGAAGGCAGUCUGCUGAACAGCAACUGACGCUGAGGCGCGAAAGCGUGGGGAGCAAACAGGAUUAGAUACCCGAGUAGUC